CAAGGGCAUCAUCAGCCCCCUUGUUAGAAAUGCAGAAUCUCAGCCCUCCCUCCCCAAACCUCCUGAAUUAGAACCUGCCUUUUCGGUAGCCAUAGGACUGCUGCUUCUCAUCUGGUCUCUCCAGGGAGUCUCUGAGCUGCCCAUGUAAGAAGUUUGGCUGAUGUGCCUCCAAGGGUGCAAAAGUGGAAAGAUUCAUCUUAGGGGACGCCUCUCCUGGGAAACCUUCUUAAAAGCCCAGUCUCCAGUUUAAUUUAGCAGUUUUUGGAAGGCAGAGUCCAUGUCAUAUUCAUCUUCGUGUUCCCACAGUGUCUAUUGCAUGGAAACUAUUUCUUAUAUCAAUAA